GAUGAACGCUGGCGGCGUGCCUAAUACAUGCAAGUCGAGCGAACAGACGAGGAGCUUGCUCCUCUGACGGUAGCGGCGGACGGGUGAGUAACACGUGGAUAACCUACCUAUAAGACUGGGAUAACUUCGGGAAACCGGAGCUAGUACCGGAUAAUAUAUUGAACCGCAUGGUUCAAUAGUGAAAGACGGUUUUGCUGUCACUUAUAGAUGGAUCCGCGCCGCAUUAGCUAGUUGGUAAGGUAACGGCUUACCAAGGCAACGAUGCGUAGCCGACCUGAGAGGGUGAUCGGCCACACUGGAACUGAGACACGGUCCAGACUCCUACGGGAGGCAGCAGUAGGGAAUCUUCCGCAAUGGGCGAAAGCCUGACGGAGCAACGCCGCGUGAGUGAUGAAGGUCUUCGGAUCGUAAAACUCUGUUAUUAGGGAAGAACAAAUGUGUAAGUAACUAUGCACGUCUUGACGGUACCUAAUCAGAAAGCCACGGCUAACUACGUG
rnacentral:rRNA from 1 species